rnacentral:lncRNA from 1 species
UAGUAAUUUUCAUCGUGUGCUCUAGGUUAUAUCUUGCCAUACUACUAUCGUCAUUUCCCUGAUCAAGAUGGCACAAGGUUGUGAUUCUAGUUAGACAUGUAUAUUUGCACACAUUUAUUGUAGUGUAUUUUAAUUCAUGAUAGUUAAUGCAUUCAUAUUUACACAUCUUUAUUGUACUUAUCCAAAAACAUCCCAACUGAGAAGGUAGAUACUAUAAAUUUGAUGCCUGCCUUGAGUAUCAGAAUUCAGUAACUUUUUGUUGAUGGGUUUUCAUUUUCCAGUUCUAGUCAUGGCAAUAAUAAAAAAUAUUGAGAGAAUCUUGUUUUCAUUGCUCGACAGGUAAUGAAAAUGUUGAAGCUAUUUAGAGAGAAUCUUGUUAGAUAAUUGAGAGAAAACAUAUCCAAACAUUGUAAAUAAAGAAAGUAGUAAACUGGCGCCCAAGCGUUCUUUAUGCCACCUUUGUUCUCUUAUCUAUCAGUCCAAUAUAUUGGCCUUAACUCGAAUGUCUUACCAUAGACAAUUUAGAUCACAUCCCAAGCCUGCCUAAUAUAAUCGUGUGUGUUGAAUGAAAUGCGAUUUAGCUGAUGGGUAGAUGAAAGAUCAAGCCAAUGGACAAAACCAAGCCUUAAAAACUGAUAUCUGGCCAUAGGUCCUUGGAUUUUACAUUCACUGAAACUGCAUUGGUGGCUGCAUAUUUUUGGAAUCAAAGUGGUCAUAUUAGCAUAUCCUCAUCAACAUCAUGAGUUACUUUUCAUUGUUUUUCAUCAUCCGCCACUUGAAAUAUUGUGUACGCUCACAAAUAGAGCUUAUGGUGAAACUUGAGACGUUUAAUGAAAGUCUCAUGUAAGGCAGAUUUCUAGAUGUAAAGCCUCAAACAAGUUGUCUUGGAAAUAAUAUCCUUAUUUUAUUCUUUUUGAGAUUAUAUUUUGCUAUGUAAAGUACUAGGUGCUAUUUCAUUUCUUGUGAUCCAUUG